GAUGAACGCUGGCGGCGUGCCUAAUACAUGCAAGUCGAGCGAACGGACGAGAAGCUUGCUUUUCUGAUGUUAGCGGCGGACGGGUGAGUAACACGUGGAUAACCUACCUAUAAGACUGGGAUAACUUCGGGAGACCAGAGCUAAUACCGGAUAAUAUUUUGAACCGCAUGGUUCAAAAGUGAAAGACGGUCUUGCUGUCACUUAUAGAUGGAUCCGCGCUGCAUUAGCUAGUUGGUAAGGUAACGGCUUACCAAGGCAACGAUGCAUAGCCGACCUGAGAGGGUGAUCGGCCACACUGGAACUGAGACACGGUCCAGACUCCUACGGGAGGCAGCAGUAGGGAAUCUUCCGCAAUGGGCGAAAGCCUGACGGAGCAACGCCGCGUGAGUGAUGAAGGUCUUCGGAUCGUAAAACUCUGUUAUUAGGGAAGAACAUAUGUGUAAGUAACUGUGCACAUCUUGACGGUACCUAAUCAGAAAGCCACGGCUAACUACGUG
rnacentral:rRNA from 1 species